rnacentral:rRNA from 1 species
GACGAACGCUGGCGGCGUGCUUAACACAUGCAAGUCGAACGGAAAGGCCCUGCUUUUGUGGGGUGCUCGAGUGGCGAACGGGUGAGUAACACGUGAGUAACCUGCCCUUGACUUUGGGAUAACUUCAGGAAACUGGGGCUAAUACCGGAUAGGAGCUCCUGCUGCAUGGUGGGGGUUGGAAAGUUUCGGCGGUUGGGGAUGGACUCGCGGCUUAUCAGCUUGUUGGUGGGGUAGUGGCUUACCAAGGCUUUGACGGGUAGCCGGCCUGGGAGGGUGACCGGCCACAUUGGGACUGAGAUACGGCCCAGACUCCUACGGGAGGCAGCAGUUGGGAAUAUUGCACAAUGGGCGGAAGCCUGAUGCAGCAACGCCGCGUGCGGGAUGACGGCCUUCGGGUUGUAAACCGCUUUCGCCUGUGACGAAGCGUGAGUGACGGUAAUGGGUAAAGAAGCACCGGCUAACUACGUG